rnacentral:tRNA from 1 species
CGAGGAGUGGCGCAGUCCGGCAGCGCACCUGGUUUGGGACCAGGGGGUCGCGGGUUCGAAUCCCGCCUCCUCGACCA